rnacentral:rRNA from 1 species
UGGGGAAUUUUGGACAAUGGGCGCAAGCCUGAUCCAGCAAUGCCGCGUGCAGGAUGAAGGCCUUCGGGUUGUAAACUGCUUUUGUACGGAGCGAAAAGGUCUGCCCUAAUACGGUGGGCUCAUGACGGUACCGUAAGAAUAAGCACCGGCUAACUACGUGCCAGCAGCCGCGGUAAUACGUAGGGUGCGAGUGUUAAUCGGAAUUACUGGGCGUAAAGCGUGCGCAGGCGGUUAUGUAAGACAGAGGUGAAAUCCCCGGGCUCAACCUGGGAACUGCCUUUGUGACUGCAUGGCUAGAGUGCGGCAGAGGGGGAUGGAAUUCCGCGUGUAGCAGUGAAAUGCGUAGAUAUGCGGAGGAACACCGAUGGCGAAGGCAAUCCCCUGGGCCUGCACUGACGCUCAUGCACGAAAGCGUGGGGAGCAAACA